rnacentral:rRNA from 1 species
GAGUAACGCGUGGGUAACCUGCCCUGUACACACGGAUAACAUACCGAAAGGUAUGCUAAUACGAGAUAAUAUGCUUUUAUCGCAUGGUAGAAGUAUCAAAGCUUUUGCGGUACAGGAUGGACCCGCGUCUGAUUAGCUAGUUGGUAAGGUAACGGCUUACCAAGGCGACGAUCAGUAGCCGACCUGAGAGGGUGAUCGGCCACAUUGGAACUGAGACACGGUCCAAACUCCUACGGGAGGCAGCAGUGGGGAAUAUUGCACAAUGGGCGAAAGCCUGAUGCAGCAACGCCGCGUGAGCGAUGAAGGCCUUCGGGUCGUAAAGCUCUGUCCUCAAGGAAGAUAAUGACGGUACUUGAGGAGGAAGCCCCGGCUAACUACGUGCCAGCAGCCGCGGUAAUACGUAGGGGGCUAGCGUUAUCCGGAAUUACUGGGCGUAAAGGGUGCGUAGGUGGUUUCUUAAGUCAGAGGUGAAAGGCUACGGCUCAACCGUAGUAAGCCUUUGAAACUGGGAAACUUGAGUGCAGGAGAGGAGAGUGGAAUUCCUAGUGUAGCGGUGAAAUGCGUAGAUAUUAGGAGGAACACCAGUUGCGAAGGCG